UCUGACGGAGCACGCCGCGUGAGUGAUGAAGGUUUUCGGAUCGUAAAGCUCUGUUGUUAGGGAAGAACAAGUACCGUUCGAAUAGGGCGGUACCUUGACGGUACCUAACCAGAAAGCCACGGCUAACUACGUGCCAGCAGCCGCGGUAAUACGUAGGUGGCAAGCGUUGUCCGGAAUUAUUGGGCGUAAAGGGCUCGCAGGCGGUUCCUUAAGUCUGAUGUGAAAGCCCCCGGCUCAACCGGGGAGGGUCAUUGGAAACUGGGGAACUUGAGUGCAGAAGAGGAGAGUGGAAUUCCACGUGUAGCGGUGAAAUGCGUAGAGAUGUGGAGGAACACCAGUGGCGAAGGCGACUCUCUGGUCUGUAACUGACGCUGAGGAGCGAAAGCGUGGGGAGCGAACAGGAUUAGAUACCCUGGUAGUCCACGCCGUAAACGAUGAGUGCUAAGUGUUAGGGGGUUUCCGCCCCUUAGUGCUGCAGCUAACGCAUUAAGCACUCCGCCUGGGGAGUACGGUCGCAAGACUGAAACUCAAAGGAAUUGACGGGGGCCCGCACAAGCGGUGGAGCAUGUGGUUUAAUUCGAAGCAACGCGAAGAACCUUACCAGGUCUUGACAUCCUCUGACAAUCCUAGAGAUAGGACGUCCCCUUCGGGGGCAGAGUGACAGGUGGUGCAUGGUUGUCGUCAGCUCGUGUCGUGAGAUGUUGGGUUAAGUCCCGCAACGAGCGCAACCCUUGAUCUUAGUUGCCAGCAUUCAGUUGGGCACUCUAAGGUGACUGCCGGUGACAAACCG
rnacentral:rRNA from 1 species